rnacentral:lncRNA from 1 species
UGACGAUCUGCAGUGCACAGCAUGGCUUCCGGCUGGUCACUGGGAAAUGCGACUCCAGGGUUUUGACCCUUGCUAAUCACUGGCUGAUGUCGUCAAAAGCAGACCUCCUCUUCUUUAUCUGAAGAUGUGUAGGGCAAACCACAGAUGGAGGCCGCAGGAAGGAACGGGGCCGUUUCUGAAGAAGCUGGGAGAGAGGUGGAGACACAGGAGAAUUGCCUGGACCCAAGGCCAGCUAUCCUGGAGUACACAGAUGGCAGACACAGUAGAUAACUGCCUCCUCAACAAGGAGAGAGUGUUCCUGAACACCGACCGUCCUUUGGCCUCUGCAGAGCGUGCUGUAGUUCCCAGCUUUUAUGAGCUGUCACCCAUGCUGGGUGGGCUUUGGUGAAGCAGCUGUCUCUGAGUCAUUCCUGCUCUUGUAAGUAACCCUUCACCCAUAUUCCUGUAACACCAAUAAAACUCAUUGGUUC